rnacentral:rRNA from 1 species
ACCUGCGGAAGGAUCAUUAAUGAUUAACUGUCUGUCGAGCUUGCUCACAGACUUAUCAUAUCCAUAACACCUGUGCACUUGUCGGAUGGCUUAGUGAAGACCGCAAGGUUGGAUCUAUCCAUCUACUUUACAUAACAAUCUAGUAACAAAUGUAGUCUUAUUAUAACAUAAUAAAACUUUCAACAACGGAUCUCUUGGCUCUCGCAUCGAUGAAGAACGCAGCGAAAUGCGAUAAGUAAUGUGAAUUGCAGAAUUCAGUGAAUCAUCGAAUCUUUGAACGCACCUUGCGCUCCCUGGUAUUCCGGGGAGCAUGCCUGUUUGAGUGUCAUGAAAACCCUCAACCUUAGAUUGGUUAACACCUUUCUUUGGCUUGGAUUUGGACGUUUGCCGAUGAUAAGUCGGCUCGUCUUAAAAGUAAUAGCUGGAUCUGUCUCGCGACAUGGUUUGACUUGGCGUAAUAAGUAUUUCGCUAAGGACAUCUUCGGAUGGCCGCGUUGCAAGACUAAAGACCGCUUUCUAAUCCAUUGAUCUUCGGAUUAAUAUUCUUGACAUCUGGCCUCAAAUCAGGUAGGACUACCCGCUGAACUUAAGCAUAUCAAUAAGCGGAGGAA